UACGGGGGGGGCAAGCGUUGUUCGGAAUUACUGGGCGUAAAGGGCUCGUAGGUGGCCAACUAAGUCGGACGUGAAAUCCCUCGGCUUAACCGGGGAACUGCGUCUGAUACUGGAUGGCUUGAGUUCGGGAGAGGGAUGCGGAAUUCCAGGUGUAGCGGUGAAAUGCGUAGAUAUCUGGAGGAACACCGGUGGCGAAGGCGGCAUACUGGACGUUAUCUGACGCUGAGGCGCGAAAGCCAGGGGAGCAAACGGG
rnacentral:rRNA from 1 species